rnacentral:rRNA from 1 species
UACGUAGGUAGCAAGCGUUGUUCGGAGUUACUGGGCGUAAAGGGUGCGUAGGCGGCUUUUUAAGUCUGGUGUGAAAUCUCCCGGCUCAACUGGGAGGGUGCGCCGGAUACUGAGGGGCUAGAGUGUGGGAGAGGAAAGUGGAAUUCCUGGUGUAGCGGUGAAAUGCGUAGAUAUCAGGAGGAACACCGGUGGUGUAAACGGCUUUCUGGACCAUAACUGACGCUGAGGCACGAAAGCGUGGGUAGCAAACAGG